UACGGAGGGUGCGAGCGUUAAUCGGAAUUACUGGGCGUAAAGGGUGCGUAGGUGGUUAAUUAAGUUAGAUGUAAAAGCCCUGGGCUUAACCUGGGAUUGAGAUUUAAUACUGGUUAACUGGAGUAUUGGAGAGGGUAGUGGAAUUUCCGGUGUAGCGGUGAAAUGCGUAGAGAUCGGAAGGAACACCAGUGGCGAAGGCGGCUACCUGGCCAAAUACUGACACUGAAGCACGAAAGCGUGGGGAGCAAACAGGAUUAGAUACCCUGGUAGUCCACGCCGUAAACGAUGUCAACUAGCCGUUGGUCAUAUUAAGAUGAUAAGUGGCGCAGCAAACGCGAUAAGUUGACCGCCUGGGGAGUACGGUCGCAAGAUUA
rnacentral:rRNA from 1 species